rnacentral:rRNA from 1 species
AACGUCGUGAGACAGUUCGGUCCCUAUCUGCCGUGGGCGCUGGAGAAUUGAGGGGGGCUGCUCCUAGUACGAGAGGACCGGAGUGGACGCAUCACUGGUGUUCGGGUUGUCAUGCCAAUGGCACUGCCCGGUAGCUAAAUGCGGAAGAGAUAAGUGCUGAAAGCAUCUAAGCACGAAACUUGCCCCGAGAUGAGUUCUCCCUGAGACUUUAAGUCUCCUGAAGGAACGUUAAAGACGAUGACGUUGAUAGGCCGGGUGUGUAAGCGCAGCGAUGCGUUGAGCUAACCGGUACUAAUGAACCGUGAGGCUUAACCUU